rnacentral:rRNA from 1 species
UUCCGGUUGAUCCUGCCGGAGGCUACCGCUAUUGGAGUUCGAUUAAGCCAUGCGAGUCCAGAGCUUUCGGAGCUCGGCGUACCGCUCAGUAACACGUGGGUAACCUAACCUAUGCAGGGGAAUAACCUCGGGAAACUGAGAAUAAUGCCCCAUAGUCCACUACGCCUGGAACGGUGAGUGGAUGAAAGCUCAGGCGGCAUAGGAUGGGCCUGCGGCGUAUCAGGUUGUAGGGGGUGUAAAGUACCCUCUAGCCCUCUACGCGUACGGGUGUUGGGAGACAUAGCCCGGAGAUGGAUUCUGAGACACGAAUCCAGACCCUACGGGGUGCAGCAGGCGCGAAAACUUGGCAAUGCGAGCAAUCGUGACCAGGGAACUCCAAGUGGCUGGGGUAAGACCCAGUCUUUUCAGAACUCUUCAAAGGUUUUAGAAUAAGGGGUGGGUAAGGACGGUGCCAGCCGCCGCGGUAAUACCGGCGCCUCAAGUGGUAGUCGCUUUUAUUGGGCCUAAAACGUCCGUAGCCGGUUUGGUACAUUCGUGGGUAAAUCAACUCGCUCAACGAGUUGAAUUCUGCGAGGACGGCCAGACUUGGGACCGGGAGAGGUGUGGGGUACUCUCAGGGUAGGGGUAAAAUCCUGUCAUCCUGAGAGGACCACCUGUUGCGAAGGCGCCACACUAGAACGGAUCCGACGGUCAGGGACGAAGCCUAGGGGCACGAACCGGAUUAGAUACCCGGGUAGUCCUAGGUGUAAACGCUGUGGACUUGAUGUUGGAGGAGCUCCGAGCUCUUUCAGUGUCGAAGCGAAGGUGAUAAGUCCACUGCCUGGGAAGUACGGUCGCAAGGCUGAAACUUAAAGGAAUUGGCGGGGGAGCACCACAAGGGGUGAAGCCUGCGGUUCAAUUGGAGUCAACGCCGG